UGGGGAAUCUUGGACAAUGGGCGCAAGCCUGAUCCAGCCAUGCCGCGUGAGUGAUGAAGGCCUUAGGGUCGUAAAGCUCUUUCGCCAGAGAUGAUAAUGACAGUAUCUGGUAAAGAAACCCCGGCUAACUCCGUGCCAGCAGCCGCGGUAAUACGGAGGGGGUUAGCGUUGUUCGGAAUUACUGGGCGUAAAGCGCGCGUAGGCGGAUUAGUCAGUUAGAGGUGAAAUCCCGGGGCUCAACCCCGGAACUGCCUUUAAUACUGCUAGUCUUGAGUUCGAGAGAGGUGAGUGGAAUUCCGAGUGUAGAGGUGAAAUUCGUAGAUAUUCGGAGGAACACCAGUGGCGAAGGCGGCUCACUGGCUCGAUACUGACGCUGAGGUGCGAAAGUGUGGGGAGCAAACAGGAUUAGAUACCCUGGUAGUCCACACCGUAAACGAUGAAUGCCAGUCGUCGGGUAGCAUGCUAUUCGGUGACACACCUAACGGA
rnacentral:rRNA from 1 species